UUCAAGAUGCUCAUUUGUUUCC
rnacentral:miRNA from 1 species